rnacentral:misc_RNA from 1 species
GUUGAAUUGAGCAUCGCUGAAAAGCCUGAGAAGCUGUGCUUGUAGCUAUAGAGCAAGGACUGUUUAGCUUCUUCUUCACUUGCAAAGACAUUAGACAGGAGUUGAAUAUGAGAGUUUGAAGUAACAAUAGGAUCAUGAAAUUGGUUGAGCCCUAGAUAAACAAUGUACACAUUAGAUAUGGAUAUUGAGUGAAUGAAAUAAAGUGAAAAUGAGAAGGAUAAGCCCCAGAAAUAUUGCACAUAAGUUGC